rnacentral:rRNA from 1 species
UACGUAGGGGGCAAGCGUUGUCCGGAAUCAUUGGGCGUAAAGGGCGCGUAGGCGGCCUUCUAAGUCGGACGUGAAAUCCCUCGGCUCAACCGAGGAACUGCGUCCGAUACUGGUUGGCUUGAAUUCGGGAGAGGGAUGUAGAAUUCCAGGUGUAGCGGUGAAAUGCGUAGAUAUCUGGAGGAAUACCGGUGGCGAAGGCGGCAUCCUGGACCAUAACUGACGCUGAGGCGCGAAAGCUAGGGGAGCAAACGGG